rnacentral:snoRNA from 1 species
GAUUUGCAGUGAUGAUUGUUUACACAGCUUAAUGCCAGUUCUGCUUCAGAAAAUUCUUGAUUGAAAAGCUGUUAAUACAUCUGAGCUUUUU